AUGGAUAAUUUCCCAGACUCCAAAGAGUCCAGUUUCCAGAACUCCCUGGAGGAUUCACGAGCCUCAGACAAUGAAGUGCCUCAUCUGGAGAGAAAGGAGGAGCACAGGGGUCACCAGAGUCCAUCUGGCUGCAGUGACCUUGGAGUGACUAUAGCUGCUUACUCCUGUUGACUGAAGCCACUCAGCAGGGCUCAAGGAGGAGAAGUCCCAUCCAGAAAGAGGAGCCAUGGCCAACCAAGGAUAGCAGGUAAGGAAGCUGGUGGGGCCCCACUGAGGAGGAGGGUGGAGUAGCCAGCUGGG
rnacentral:lncRNA from 1 species